rnacentral:rRNA from 1 species
GACGAACGCUGGCGGCGUGCUUAACACAUGCAAGUCGAACGGAAAGGCCCUGCUUUUGUGGGGUGCUCGAGUGGCGAACGGGUGAGUAACACGUGAGUAACCUGCCCUUGACUUUGGGAUAACUUCAGGAAACUGGGGCUAAUACCGGAUAGGAGCUCCUGCUGCAUGGUGGGGGUUGGAAAGUUUCGGCGGUUGGGGAUGGACUCGCGGCUUAUCAGCUUGUUGGUGGGGUAGUGGCUUACCAAGGCUUUGACGGGUAGCCGGCCUGAGAGGGUGACCGGCCACAUUGGGACUGAGAGACGGCCCAGACUACUACGGGAGGCAGAAGUGGGGAAUAUUGCACAAUGGGCGGAAGCCUGAUGCAGCAACGCCGCGUGCGGGAUGACGGGCUUCGGGUUGUAAACCGCUUUCGCCUGUGACGAAGCGUGAGUGACGGUAAUGGGUAAAGAAGCACCGGCUAACUACGUG